rnacentral:rRNA from 1 species
UACGGAGGGUGCGAGCGUUGUCCGGAAUCACUGGGCGUAAAGGGUGCGUAGGUGGUUAGGUAAGUCCGAUGUGAAAUCUCCAGGCUCAACCUGGAAAUGGCAUUGGAUACUAUCUAGCUUGAGGAGUGGAGGGGGGACUGGAAUUCUCGGUGUAGCAGUGAAAUGCGUAGAUAUCGAGAGGAACACCAGUGGCGAAGGCGAGUCCCUGGACACUUCCUGACACUGAGGCACGAAAGCUAGGGGAGCAAACAGG